rnacentral:rRNA from 1 species
GAUGAACGCUGGCGGCGUGCCUAAUACAUGCAAGUCGAGCGAACAGACGAGGAGCUUGCUCCUCUGACGUUAGCGGCGGACGGGUGAGUAACACGUGGAUAACCUACCUAUAAGACUGGGAUAACUUCGGGAAACCGGAGCUAAUACCGGAUAAUAUAUUGAACCGCAUGGUUCAAUAGUGAAAGACGGUUUUGCUGUCACUUUUAGAUGGAUCCGCGCCGCAUUAGCUAGUUGGUAAGGUAACGGCUUACCAAGGCAACGAUGCGUAGCCGACCUGAGAGGGUGAUCGGCCACACUGGAACUGAGACACGGUCCAGACUCCUACGGGAGGCAGCAGUAGGGAAUCUUCCGCAAUGGGCGAAAGCUUGACGGAGCAACGCCGCGUGAGUGAUGAAGGUCUUCGGAUCGUAAAGCUCUGUUAUUAGGGAAGAACAAAUGUGUAAGUAACUAUGCACGUCUUGACGGUACCUAAUCAGAAAGCCACGGCUAACUACGUG